UGAGGCCUUUCUACUGUUUUGGACUGUAAAGCCUCUUUCUGCUCAACAUGUUUGAAAACUUUGAGGAGUUCAGUGAGACAGAGUGGCUGAAUGGACUGGUUAUACUGGGACAGAGUGGCUGAGUGGACUGGUUAUAUCAAUCUCUGAGAGUGAACAAGCAGAGAAGAUGAAUCUAAAGCAGACUGUGGAGGACUGUGGAUGCACAGGACACAGAAUGACAGGAUGCUGCUGCUGCUGCUCGUCUGCCUCCAUGCUGAUUUCUGCAAAACCCUGGGAGGGAGCCUGCCUCUUUAUUGCAAGCCGAAAGGCGUUGAUGACUGUGAGGAAACUGCAUCACAUCAGGUUCAGAUGACCAGAUGCUGCUGGGACUCAAACCUGGACUUGUUGCUCUGCAGAUGACUCACACCACUGCUGAGCCUUGAAGCCUGGUGAUAAUGGAAAUAAGGAGCCUAUGAUUGUGGCAUUAGUAUUUUUUUUAUUUUUUCAUAUAUCUUCAUUUAGUAACUUCUCACAAAGAGAGGCAAAUCAGAAACAUUUUGAACUUAAGUGACUCUUUAAUUUCCAGCAAAUGAAAUCUCUAACUGCAAAAACUUCUCCUGUAGAUGAAAAGGAAGGACUCUGUAAUCAUCAUGUGUGUGAUAAGACUUAAAGCUGGUCAUUGCAGUGCUGAGAAGUCACAUUUCAACUCCUUUUCCCCCCCUUCAGUGUUCAGAGCAGCUCUCUCCUCAGAAAGCUGGGGGUCACGGUGUGGAAAAGCCCCCAGCGAACUGGUAGAAAUGCUGUCCCCAUUACAGCAGCAGCAGGGGUCAGGCCAUGGCAGCAAGCAUCCAACCUGCCCGAAAUUGGCUGCAAAAUGACCAAU